rnacentral:rRNA from 1 species
CCUACGGGGAGCAGCAGUGAGGAAUAUUGGUCAAUGGACGAGAGUCUGAACCAGCCAAGUAGCGUGAAGGAUGACUGCCCUAUGGGUUGUAAACUUCUUUUAUAUGGGAAUAAAAUGUUCCACGUGUGGGAUUUUGUAUGUACCAUAUGAAUAAGGAUCGGCUAACUCCGUGCCAGCAGCCGCGGUAAUACGGAGGAUCCAAGCGUUAUCCGGAUUUAUUGGGUUUAAAGGGAGCGUAGGUGGAUUGUUAAGUCAGGUGUGAAAGUUUGCGGCUCAACCGUAAAAUUGCCGUUGAAACUGGCAGUCUGGAGUACAGUAGAGGUGGGCGGAAUUCGUGGUGUAGCGGUGAAAUGCUUAGAUAUCACGAAGAACUCCGAUUGCGAAGGCAGCUCACUGGACUGCAACUGACACUGAGGCUCGAAAGUGUGGGUAUCAAACAGGAUUAGAUACCCUUGUAGUC